rnacentral:sRNA from 1 species
UACACACAAACAUACUCACAAACAUCUCUUAAAAGCAUGGGUUUCUUUAAGGGCUGAAGCUGUCCAGGGAAGAUGACCUCAUAACAUGACACAUGAUCAUACAUGACCUUUGUUUUCAUUGUGAGAUGAAGCCCGGCGUAAAUAUGGUUUAUGAUGACGGAAUAAAGAGUAUCUGGAAAUUGUGUGUCUUCAAAGGCAAAUUUUUUAUGUGCUACGAAAAACAAAGAAAAACCCCUUUCUGUGGGUGUAAACCUUGUUUCCAUUGCUUAGAGAAGUCUGUGUGAGUUGAAAGCAGGUGAAAGGAAGCAGCCUCUUGGUAAAUGUUGAGAUCAUCUACACGUAGUCACCUUAACCAUGUGGAAGUGGUACUGUCCCAUUUCUGUUUCAUUGCUGUGAUAAAAUCCCUUGGCAAAAAGAGCAUAGGGCAGGAGGGGUUUAUUUACCUCACAAUGCCUCACUAUGUCACAAUAGGGAAGCCAAGGCAGGGACUCGAAGCAAGCAGUCACAGCACAUCCAGUGACCAGCAGAGAGAACCAGAUGCUCGCAUGCAUAAUACAUUUUCUUCAGGCCUAUGCAGUCCAGGACCCAAACUCAGGGAAUGGUGCCGCCCACAGUGGGCUGGGUCUUCUCGCACCAAUUAACCCCUUAGUCACCACCUUCCUACUUUCUAUCUCUGUGAGCUUGACGACUCUACAUGAACUUCAAAGAAUUGGAAUCAUGCAGAUUCAUCUUUUUCUGUGACUGGGAUCUUAGAUAUUUGGAUGUAUCCAAAACCUGACAUCAAGAACGUGCUGGCUCACAGACCCGCUCUGUGAGGAAUCACCACAUUCAGCGCUUUUGAUUAAAAAAAAAAAGAUUUAUUUAUUUAUGCGUACGGAUGCUUUUUUUGGCAUGUACGUCUGUGCACCCCAUUUGUGCAGUACCCGUGGAGGCCAGAAGAGGGCGUCUGAUUGUCUGAAGCUUAAGUCACAUAUGCCUAUGAGUUGCCAGGUGGAUGCUGGGAAUUGAACCCAGGUCUUCUGGAAGAGCAGCCAGUGCUCUUAACCAUUGAGCCACCCCUCCGGCAGCUCAUCAUUCACAACAUCUGAAAACAAAAGCGAAAGAGAAAAGUGUUCCUCAUACCUGUUCUAGUCACCUCACCUCAAGCCCUGGGCACCGUUUGGCUCCCAACUUGGUGACAGUGUCAAGAGCAACAGUUCUCAUUCCCCAGUGGGGUUCUCAUCCUUAACGUUUUGCUUUCUCCCACCAUAUAUUUCAGGAGGCCGCCCACGCCACGGCAGACCGCUCCCUAGCCGUCAACGUGAUGUUCCUCACCGGUGCUUUGCACAUGUGCAUCUUCGCUCUGAACCCAGUGUCAUGGCAAAUAUGUC